UGACCCCGAGACCGAUAGCAAACAAGUACGGUGACGGAAGAUUGAAAAGAACUUUGAAGAGAGAGUUCAAUAGUACGUGAAACUGUGUGGUGGUAAACGGAGGGGUUCUCGAAGUUUCUGUGGGGAACUCAGCCUUGGUGUCGCGUGGCCCUGUUGUAUCUGAUCAGCAAUGACAGUGCAGCUUGUCCGACGUGUCUCUCGGGUGCAUUUCCCCCGCAGUUUACGGCAGGAACUGUUUGGAGCGCACCGAAGGCCUCGGGUGAAGUUGUUGGUUCUGCUGGCAGCCCUGGGUGUCCUGGCUUCGCACCAGACAGGUACGUGAGAGGACUCGUAUAGCGAGCAAUGCUCUGUUGCGGUUCUCAUCUCUCUGCCGAGUAGGUCGGCGGCCCCUCCGACCCGUCUUGAAACACGGACCAAGGAGUCUAACAUGUAUGCGAGCCAUUGAGUUGACUAAACUUAGAGGCGCAGUGAAAGCAAAGAGUAGCUUGUCUGCUCGAGGGAGGAUCCGCAAGGCGCACUCCCGCGACUUCCAAUCGACCUCGCAUCGUUGGGAGUACGCAGAGCAUAAAUGUUGGGACCCGAAAGAUGGUGAACUAUGCCUGGCCAGGUUGAAGUCAGGGGAAACCCUGAUGGAGGACCGUAGCGAUUCUGACGUGCAAAUCGAUCGUCGGAGCUGGGCAUAGGGGCGAAAGACUAAUCGAACCAUCUAGUAGCUGGUUCCUGCCGAAGUUUCCCUCAGGAUAGCUGGUGCUCAUUACGAGUUUCAUCCGGUAAAGAGAAUGAUUAGAAGCCUUGGGGGCGAAACGCCCUCAACUUAUUCUCAAACUUUAAAUGGGUGAGAAGUCUGUCUUGCUUGAGUGAAGUCAGACACUGAAUCGGAGUGCCUAGUGGGCCAUUUUUGGUAAGCAGAACUGGCGCUGUGGGAUGAACCAAACGCGGGGUUAAAGUGCCAAAGUAGAAGCUCAUCAGAUCCCACGAAAGGUGUUGGUUGCUUAUAACAGCAGGACGGUGGCCAUGGAAGUCGGAAUCCGCUAAGGAGUGUGUAACAACUCACCUGCCGAAGCAACUAGCCCUGAAAAUGGAUGGCGCUAAAGCUUCUCACUUAUACCCCGCCGUUCAGUUAGAACCGAGCUUCUAGCUCUUGACAACUGAACGAGUAGGCAGGUCGCACCGGUGGCGCGGAAGGCUCUGGGUGUGAACCUGGCUGGAGCCGCCGGUGGUGCAGAUCUUGGUGGUAGUAGCAAAUACUCCAGAGAGGCCCUGGAGGACCGAUGUGGAGAAGGGUUUCGUGUGAACAGCUGUUGGACACGAGUCAGUCGAUCCUAAGGCUUAGGGGAAACCUUAUACAAUAGAGCGGUGUUUUCUUAUUGAAGACCGCAUCUACAGCCGAAAGGGAAUGAGGUCCUUAUUCCUCAACCUGAUAGCGGAACCGAUCCGGCCCUCGUACCGACACGGCAACGUGAAAUGAGCCUGAGACGUCCGCCCGAGCUCUGGGAAGAGUUGUCUUUUCUGCAUAAGCCGCCGAGGCCCUGGAAUUCCUUCGAGGAGAGAAUGGGUUUUGGUCUAGGCAAAGAGCGCAGCAGUUCUCGCUGUGUCCAUGAGUGACGGGUGGAACCUUGAAAAUCAGGCUGAGGGUUACGGCGGAGUCGCAUCAGCUCGUACCCAUAUCCGCAGCAGGUCUCCUAGGUGAAUAGCCUCUGGUCGAUAGAAUAAUGUAGGUAAGGGAAGUCGGCAAAUUGGAUCCGUAACUUCGGGAUAAGGAUUGGCUCUGAGGGUCGGGGUGUUUGGGCUUUGUGCUGGAAGCGGGUUGGCCUACCGGUGGGCCUGGCCGAACCCUUGGGUGAAGUCGGUCCCGUUUCACAGGCUCCCGUGGAUAGCCAUUGCUUUGCGGGCCCGGGCAACCGGUGUCUCGUUCAAACAUCGAUCAACGACUAACUCAGAACUGGCACGGACUAGGGGAAUCCGACUGUCUAAUUAAAACAAAGCAUUGCGAUGGUCAGAGAUUGAUGUUGACGCAAUGUGAUUUCUGCCCAGUGCUCUGAAUGUCAAAGUGAAGAGGUUCGUCCAAGCGCGGGUAAACGGCGGGAGUAACUAUGACUCUCUUAAGGUAGCCAAAUGCCUCGCCAUCUAAUUAGUGGCGCGCAUGAAUGGAUUAACGAGAUUCCCACUGUCCCUAUCUACUAUCUAGCGAAACCGCAGCCAAGGGAACGGACUUGGGAAGAUCAGCGGGGAAAGAAGACCCUGUUGAGCUUGACUCUAGUCUCCUUUUGUAGAGGAGCAUUUCUGGCGUAGAAUAGGGAGGAGGCUUCGGCCGACAGUGAAAUACUCCUACGGAAAUCGCUCCUCUGCUUACACGGUUAGGCGAAAUUAGGACCUUCGGGGCCUAUUUCUUGAAUCAAAUGGGCGGGCUUGUUCUCGCCCAUGAUUCGCUCCGUGGACAUUGCGAGGCGGGGAGUUUGACUGGGGCGGUACAUCUGUCAAAUGAUAACGCAGGUGUCCUAAGGCCAGCUCAGUGAGGACGGAAACCUCACGUGGAGCAAAAGGGCAAAAGCUGGCUUGACCUUUCCCUUCAGUACGGGGCAAGGAGCAGAAAUGUCGGCCUAUCGAUCCUCUUUAUUUCGGAGUUUGAAGAAAGAGGUGUCAGAAAAGUUACCACAGGGAUAACUGGCUUGUGGCCG
rnacentral:rRNA from 1 species